rnacentral:rRNA from 1 species
UACAGAGGGUGCGAGCGUUGUUCGGAAUUAUUGGGCGUAAAGCGCUUGUAGGCGGCUUGUCGCGUCUGCUGUGAAAACUCGAGGCUCAACCUCGGGCUUGCAGUGGGUACGGGCAGACUAGAGUGCGGUAGGGGUGACUGGAAUUCCUGGUGUAGCGGUGGAAUGCGCAGAUAUCAGGAGGAACACCGGUGGGCGAAGGCGGUUCUCUGGGCCUGUACUGACGCUGGAGGAGCGAAAGCGUGGGGAGCGAACAGG